GACACUAUGUUAAAGUUGCAAACGAGGAGGAACAAAAGUCAUCUUUCCUGCAGUCACCUUACGAAUAGAUCAACAAUAGAAACUCAUCAUCUGUGAACCAGCAUCCAGUUCUUCCCCAAAAUAAUCUCCAUUUCACAUAUUGAUGUUGAUGUAUGCCUAUAAAUUUUUAAGUCUUUGCAAUACUACCUAUUAGUGACAAUAAGUAGGUUGUGUGAGACAGAAUUCCCAAAUGACAUAAGAUCUUUUAUUUUAGUGAAA
rnacentral:lncRNA from 1 species